rnacentral:rRNA from 1 species
UACGAAGGGGGCUAGCGUUGCUCGGAAUCACUGGGCGUAAAGCGCACGUAGGCGGCUUCUUAAGUCAGGGGUGAAAUCCUGGAGCUCAACUCCAGAACUGCCUUUGAUACUGGGAGGCUCGAGUCCGGGAGAGGUGAGUGGAACUGCGAGUGUAGAGGUGAAAUUCGUAGAUAUUCGCAAGAACACCAGUGGCGAAGGCGGCUCACUGGCCCAGUACUGACGCUGAGGUGCGAAAGCGUGGGGAGCAAACAGG